rnacentral:rRNA from 1 species
AUUGAACGCUGGCGGCAGGCCUAACACAUGCAAGUCGAGCGGAUGAAGGGAGCUUGCUCCUGGAUUCAGCGGCGGACGGGUGAGUAAUGCCUAGGAAUCUGCCUGGUAGUGGGGGAUAACGUCCGGAAACGGGCGCUAAUACCGCAUACGUCCUGAUGGUGAAAGAGGGGGAUCUUCGGACCUCACGCUAUCAGAUGAGCCUAGGUCGGAUUAGCUAGUUGGUGGGGUAAAGGCCUACCAAGGCGACGAUCCGUAACUGGUCUGAGAGGAUGAUCAGUCACACUGGAACUGAGACACGGUCCAGACUCCUACGGGAGGGAGCAGUGGGGAAUAGUAGACAAUGGGCGAAAGCCUGAUCCAGCCAUGCCGCGUGUGUGAAGAAGGUCUUCGGAUUGUAAAGCACUUUAAGUUGGGAGGAAGGGCAGUAAGUUAAUACCUUGCUGUUUUGACGUUACCAACAGAAUAAGCACCGGCUAACUUCGUG